rnacentral:lncRNA from 1 species
CCGCAGAAACGCGCUCAUAUAGGUUCUCAAAAAACUUCUUCUUUUCUAAGUUACUAUCCUUCACCUCAAAACCAAACUUAUCACGUAAUCUCGCAACAGCGCGACAGGCAGCAUCCUCCACUGUCUCAUCGACAGUAGAGCAAGGCAUGCCCGAGCAACGGAUUGCCUCCGUAAUAGUCUCUCCUUUAGGGACCUUAAAUUCAACGUAGACACUGAGCAACCCCUCAUUUUCAACCGGAAUUCUGUACACAGGCAUCGACACAGAGAAUCGUUGGCAGACAAUGCGCAGGAAAUCUCGGAAACAAAUUUGCACAACUACGACUGCCAGGACUGCAACUCUGAUCAAUAUUAAAUUAUUAUAUUGAUAGUCUCAACAACUUUAAACUAUAAAACUUGCUAGUCUGAGUAUUUUUGUUGUCUCCAUAUACUCCUAAAAAAAGGCUCAAUUAUAAAUGACUGCCUAAACCAUCAUAAUUGCAAAAAGGUAACUAGCUAGCUACUCAUAGCAGAAAAAAUUAUAAAGAAUUUUAGUCCAACGUGAAUUAGAUACAGAGCCAGUUUGCACCCCAUCUCUUUAUUUCUAUAUUUGACAUUCUUUUGCUAACCCACAACAAAUAAUUUUUUUAAAAUAAAAUCAGUCUCUAUUAUUUUAACAACUACAUAACCAUAAUUAAGUCUUGAUAGAUCCAUAUAUUUUGCCCAACGAUAAAAUAACUGGGGUAACAAAAAAAUAAUUAGUUCACUCUAAAGAAGAAUACCUCUUGAAUUCAUAAAAUUAACUUUCAUGCCAUCUUCUUAAUACCCAAUAUCUGCACAGCCCAAACUUUAAUAAAAAUAAUUGAACAAUCUUACAACUUUUAGUUAGUUUAGAAGCAAAAUUUAUUGCGUACAAC